UACGUAGGGUGCGAGCGUUGUCCGGAAUUAUUGGGCGUAAAGAGCUUGUAGGCGGUUUGUCGCGUCUGCCGUGAAAGCCCGGGGCUUAACCCCGGGUCUGCAUUCGAUACGGGCAGACUAGAGUGUGGUAGGGGAGAUCGGAAUUCCUGGUGUAGCGGUGAAAUGCGCAGAUAUCAGGAGGAACACCGGUGGCGAAGGCGGGUCUCUGGGCCGAUACUGACGCUGAGGAGCGAAAGCGUGGGGAGCGAACAGG
rnacentral:rRNA from 1 species